GACGAACGCUGGCGGCGUGCUUAACACAUGCAAGCCGAACGGAGUGGCGAACGGGUGAGUAACACGUGGGUGACCUGCCCUGCACCUCGGGAUAAGCCUGGGAAACUGGGUCUAAUACCGGAUAGUGUGGGAUGGGCCCGCGGCCUACCAGCUUGUUGGUGGGGUAAUGGCCUACCAAGGCGGCGACGGGUGGCCGGCCUGAGAGGGUGAACAGCCACAUUGGGACUGGGACACGGCCCUAACUCCUACGGGAGGCAGCAGUGGGGAAUAUUGCACAAUGGGCGGAAGCCUGAUGCAGCGACGCCGCGUGGGAGAUGACGGCAUUCGGGUUGUAAACUCCUUUCACCAUCGACGCGGUAGAUGGAGAAGAAGCGCCGGCUAACUACAUGCCAGCAGCCGCGGUAAUAC
rnacentral:rRNA from 1 species